rnacentral:rRNA from 1 species
GAUUACGACCAUACCGCGUUGAAGGCACGCCAUCCCGUCCGAUCUGGCAAGUUAAACAACGCUGGGCCUCCUUAGUACUUGGAACGGAGACGUCCUGGGAAUCGGUGGUGUCGUAAUCUU